GGCAAACAACGGAGCCUCCACGGAUUUUAUUGAUAAUACCAUCGAAAGAGCAGAACAAAUAUGCAGAUUUCUAAGAAGACAGCAUAUAGAAAAGAUGAAAUGGAUUCUCAAAAAGUAGAUUACCUGCAGAAAAGUAACCCGCAUCAAGCUAGAAGAUGCCCUCCCAUAGUAGGAGAAAUACAGCUCCCACACUUCGUUAAAAGCCUGUUCGAGCAAGGACCGUCAUGUGCCACUUUCGCGCCUAACAACCAAUGUGAAGAAAUACCGUUUGUUGAGGAAUUAAUAUCCAGCUUAUAAGCCCCGACCUCAGAUAAGCAUAAAUUGAGAUGGCAGUACGUGAGAGAAGUAACGCAUGAGGCCAAGCAGAUAAGAAAUAAUGCUGCAGUAAGGGAGCAAAGGCAACUUAUUAGAGAAACCACCCAAUGGACAACGGAUAACGACCUAGUCUUCACUAGGGAAGAUAAAACAAAGAAAGUGUAUUAAUCGAACAACAUACAUA
rnacentral:lncRNA from 1 species